UACGUAGGGUGCAAGCGUUGUCCGGAAUGAUUGGGCGUAAAGAGCUCGUAGGCGGUCUGUCGCGUCUGCUGUGAAAACUCAGGGCUUAACCCUGAGCUUGCAGUGGGUACGGGCAGACUAGAGUGCGGUAGGGGAGACUGGAAUUCCUGGUGUAGCGGUGAAAUGCGCAGAUAUCAGGAGGAACACCGGUGGCGAAGGCGGGUCUCUGGGCCGUAACUGACGCUGAGGAGCGAAAGCAUGGGGAGCGAACAGG
rnacentral:rRNA from 1 species